CUUCUGAAAGGGGCCACAGAGAUUAUAAAGACGGUUGAACUCUUGCUGUGUUCAUUGUCUUACAGUUCCCAAGAUAUUCAGCUCUUUUGCUUGUAAUUCUUUUAACAAUUUUAUGGAAGCAAAUUGCAGGAAGGUGGUCCUAAAGGUUGCCACUCUGUGCUCAGCCACUGGAAACUAGAAUGUUAAUUAAGUCUGCAUCAGUGGUCUCCACUCUCCACUUUCAUUUGCUCGAAGAUUUCAAGUCUGAUUGCAGGGACCAUAAUUCAGUGUUUGGAAGUUUAUGAGACCCGUAUGGCUGACUUCUUCUAUGUUCAAAUUGAACAAGAGUUGUGCUCAGAUACGUCUCUCUCACACAAACCAUUCGUAUUUCUGCCAUAUAAUUGCUUUCAAUUUUGGACUGUUAAACUUUACUGUGUUUGAUAAUGGCUUCUUGAAUUUGCCCAUUUGUUUUUGAACUUCCUGUUGCAUUAGCCUAGGAAAACAAAAUUAUUCAAAGUUACUGGUACAGUAUGAUUAUCACUUGCAUAGUUUUUAUAAAUGUCCGAGAGAGAAAUGGUAAAAUACUUUGGAUUAUGCAUAACUUUUUCCAAAACUGGAGAUCAAAUAAUGAUUAGUUUCUUUAAUUUAUGUAAACCACAAAUUCACCACUAAUGAAGUGUAGGUGCUCCACUCAGGUAAAGCAGUUUCUUUAGAAGAUUUGGAGGAAAAAAGGGUCCUACAUCUCUGUCCUCUCUCUCCAGAAUAAACACAUCAUCAAACACCAAAGGAUAACCUCAGCCUCACGCCAUGGAGCACGCCCAUAAGAAUAUGUUCAGGUUAUCUCAAACUACUCUUAUUAUUAGCUAAUGAUCCGGGUUGUUGAGGUCAUUAUGGGUUUGCAACUCAAUUUUAGUAUAUAUUUUGAAAAACCCAUGAAUCAAUCGAACUAAUGGGUUAGAUUGAUCUAGUUCUUCAGGUUAUCAAGUCAUUUUCACACCUCAACGAGUGUUUUAUUUAUAUAAUAUUGAAUCUCUUGGAUUAAAGAGAGGGGAAGAACUAGAUUUAGAAUUUAAGUAGUUUAUAAUUGAGAGAUUUAUGAAUGAAGGGAGAAGUCCCUUUCUUCCAUUUGUUUGUAUGUAUGAACAUGGGUGUGAGGCAUUAGGUGGUCCUCUCUCUUCCUCUUUCUCCCUCCUUUUAUACACAAUAA